rnacentral:rRNA from 1 species
GGGUUGUGAGGUUAAGCGACUAAGCGUACACGGUGGAUGCCUUGGCAGUCAGAGGCGAUGAAGGGCGUGCUAAUCUGCGAUAAGCGCCGGUAAGGUGAUAUGAACCGUUAUAACCGGCGAUACCCGAAUGGGGAAACCCAGUGUGACUCGUCACACUAUCAUUAACUGAAUCCAUAGGUUAAUGAGGCGAACCGGGGGAACUGAAACAUCUAAGUACCCCGAGGAAAAGAAAUCAACCGAGAUUCCCCCAGUAGCGGCGAGCGAACGGGGAGGAGCCCAGAGCCUGAAUCAGCAUGUGUGUUAGUGGAAGCGUCUGGAAAGGCGCGCGAUACAGGGUGACAGCCCCGUACACAAAAGCGCAUGUGCUGUGAGCUCGAUGAGUAGGGCGGGACACGUGGUAUCCUGUCUGAAUAUGGGGGGACCAUCCUCCAAGGCUAAAUACUCCUGACUGACCGAUAGUGAACCAGUACCGUGAGGGAAAGGCGAAAAGAACCCCGGCGAGGGGAGUGAAAAAGAACCUGAAACCGUGUACGUACAAGCAGUGGGAGCCCCACCACUAAGCCAGUGGUGAACUCCACAUCCGCAUCCUUUGCUGAGGAUACGGUUAACGGAGCGAAAGCGACGUUCAACCGCAAAACAAGCAGAGGGGGCUUAGUGGUGGGGUGACUGCGUACCUUUUGUAUAAUGGGUCAGCGACUUAUAUUCUGUAGCAAGGUUAACCGUAUAGGGGAGCCGGAGGGAAACCGAGUCUUAAU